AACAACGGAUGGGCUGGGAUCGUGAUAAAUGGCUUCUGCAAGGCUGGACUAAUGCAAGGAGCUGAAGUUUUACUAAAUGAGAUGCAAGGAAAGGGAAUUAGUGUAGACCGGGUCAUAUUUAAUACGAUGAUGGAUGGUUACUGUAAGCAGGGUAAUGUGGAUGAAGCACUGAGGCUACAGACAAUUAUGGAGGGUGAAGGAC
rnacentral:misc_RNA from 1 species